CGUGCAGGCGGGUCGGCAAGUCUUGUGUGCAAUCUCCCGGCUUAACCGGGAACCUGCAUGGGAAACUACCGAUCUUGAGUGCGAGAGAGGAUGGCGGAAUUCCUGGUGUAGCGGUGAAAUGCGUAGAUAUCAGGAGGAACACCGGUGGCGAAGGCGGCCGUCUGGCUCGACACUGACGCUCAUACGCGAAGGGCCGGGGAGCAAACA
rnacentral:rRNA from 1 species